UAUUUGCUUAUUAAAAAACAAUUGCCGUCUGGGCUAGAGAGAACUACUGUAUGGGCGCCACCGUAUUGUGCCGCCAAUAGUGAUUUUCGGCACAAUUUUAAAUUUGAAUUUUGAACCAUCAUUUUUAGCAGGAAUCUUAUAGCUAAAAUUUAAACUUGUUCAGCCCACUGUACACACCCACUUAAUUUUUGUUUGGCUAGUUCCUCGAGUCAUUCCCAGCACCGUAUCUGAAACUUUGCCGAUCAUUUGCUUAUAUAGCCUUUCUCACCUUCUCCCUGCUUUGGGACAUGCCGUUGCCUGUAAUUAUUCUCCCUGCAGCCGUGACAAAAACUGCUAUGCCCUGCAAGCUAUCAGAGUAGCCCGUUUCUAAGACCCUACCUUAUGCGAGCAAUUUCAGCCAUGCUCAGGAUUAAGUUUCCCUAGCAUCCCAGCACGUCCCCAGGCUCGGUAGAGCACAUUUCACACUGCCCUUUCAUAUCUCCACCCCCCUCUCCCCACCCCUCUCAAGCCUUUCCUGGUAACACUGCCCAGAGCACUGACCGGUCCUUAACCCUGGCCAGAGACGACCUGUCCCAAGGUCUGGACAGGAGUGUUCGAAUGUACCGCCUCUGACCUCUAGCGGCAGAGUUAACAACUACUCCGAGUCUCCACUAAACGUCACUGCCCUCUAGCGACUCCUGAAGUCAACAUUCUCCUGUCUUUCUCUUCCAAACCACCAAAGUGCUCCACCAGUCACCGCUAUAAGCCCCAUGCUUUCAAAGUAGCCUCAUACGAGAUGCACGAAUAGACUUUUAUCUGUUUCGGCCACUCCCCAGUAGAUUGUGUUACGAUCGGGCACUAACACCAACGUCAAGAUAUUGAAGUCAGUAAUUCUCAAUCCUUCCUUCUGACAUCUUCGGAACUUUUUGGCCCUGUAGACGAAGUAUCAUCCUCCUUCUUUCAAGGCUAAGCGCUGAUUUAAUUAAGCAUCAAAGCUGCCAUACAUGGGACUUAUCGGCACGACUUCUCACUGACAGCUUCGUUUCUCAGCCAGCCCUCAGCACUAUUUAACUUUGCUGCUACUGCAAGGAUGUAGUUGCCUCAUCUAGUAAUGCCUUCUCUAAGUUUUUAGAUAGCCAUCAGUUAAGCUGUGCUGUAGUGUAUAGAAUUUUAUCAUUUGCUAAUUUUUUUUUUUGUUUAAAUUUAAAAUUAUGAUGCUUCCGCGUCUACCACGCCAGUUUCGGUCUGGAUUUCGCGGGCACCUCGGCGAGACCUCCUGAAGCCACACCGCAACACCCUGUUUUGACAGGGUCAAAGUAUGGUCGGAGUACUGUCGAAGAACUGUCCACGAAUCCAAGAAUUGGUAGCCUGUCUCCAUCAGAAUUUAUCAUUCCCGACAAUACUAACUCCAAAUUUUCCGCAACACCCACAGCGGGCCAGUUUGCCACGGGAUGCCAGCAGUUUAUGAAAUAUGUUCUAGCUGAAGUUGUUUAUGAUUAAAGGACUAUAAUUCUGGUAUUAUCGAGAAAUAGACUUACUAACUGUAAGCAACACAGGAAAGCAAUGGUUAUUGUUUUAAUAUUUUGAAUGGCUUUGUAUUUUAUAUUAUAGUUCUAAAUGUUUAUGGGCCGGCCCCCCGAUUAUAACAUUUUCACUGAUUCAGUUAUGAACCCAUAUUAUAAAUUGUAAUGUAUUAUAAAUUUUAAGUAAUUAACUUCUUUAUCAAACCAAAUUAUUACUACCAAAAUGUUUGUUUUCUCUUGUUGCAAUUUACGAUUAAAGAAAAAUAAAUAGACGCACAGGUAUAGAC